UUUUGUUUUGGUGUUUGAACAGACUUCACCGCCCACACAGGGUCAUUUUCAAACUCAUUAUAUGCCACUGGCAGGCCAGCCCAGCAAGAGAUAUGUAUGGAGUUAAUUUAUCAAGCAAAACACACAACUUAAACCAAUUUAUUUGCACUGUUUUUCCUGUUUGUGUCUUUCAAACACGAGAUGUGGGAUUCAUGUUGUUUCCGGGUCUUCAGACUAAAACACAGCAUAGCUAAAACAGAGCUGAUUUAGAAACAGCGAAAAAGAAAAGGGACAAUUGCCAGGAACACAACAGAAUUUAAACUGCCCGGAGGGCUGAAUUUACAACUUGCUUACAAUUUGCUUAGUAAAGCAAAUAUUUUGCUGGAAUAUAACAUAGACUCUUGCAGUACGGUCACGUAAAUAGGCCUGAAUGAAAUAGCUUAAAAGUGUUAAUUGUAAAACAUUUGCGCGUGUGAAACGCAGUGAUUUUCAACGAAAGAGGUAAGUG